AUGGCCGCACCUUUUCUGCUCCUUCUUCUGCUCGUCGUUUCCGGAGGCGCUGCAGCGGGCGGCGACGGCGAGGCAGGGCUGCCCCGGCUCGAGUUCCGAGGCAUCGACGACACGGGCCGUAGGCACGGGCCCUUCGCGCUGGAGGAGCCGGAGUUCAUGCGCGAUAUCUCCACGCACGACGACGAGGCGGGCGAAGCUCCCCAGCUUGAGUUCCGAGGCAUCGACGACUCAGGCCGUGGGCACGCGUCCGACGCGCCGGAGGAGCCGUUGUUCAUGGCCCAUCUCGACGACGAGGCAGGCGAAGCGCCCCAGCUCGAGUUCCGAGGCAUCGACGGCUCGGUCCAUGGGCACGCGUCCGACGCGCCGGAGGAGCGGGCGUUCACGGACGUUAUCUCCACGGGCGGCGCCUGCGACCACUUCGCCCGCCUCGUCGCCGAGACGGGGAACGCGAGCCAGCUUUUCUGGGAGCGCGCCGCGGGCGCCGGCGGUCUCACGGUGUUCUGCCCUGAAGACAAGGCCCUCGCCGAGUUCGAGCCCAAGUUCCGAGGCCUCGGCGCGGACGACCGGCUCGCCGUCCUGCUGUACCACGGCGCGGCGACCACCUACGGCAGGAAGCUGUUCCAGUCGUUCGACUGGGUGUCGGUGAGCUCGCUGGCCACCGACGCGGCCACCAACAAGAGCCACGCCAUCAACGUCCGCGACGACGGGGACACGGUGUGGCUGUGGCCGUCGUCCAGGAGUGGCGCUGGGGCCAGGGUGACCAAGACGGUGUCCGAAGAAGCACCCCUCGCCGUGUACGUCGUCGACGCCGUGCUGCUGCCGAACCACCUGCGACAGAAGCUGGAUGGCGGCGACGAGCCGGCUGCUGCGUGCGAGCCGUCCGGUGGCUAUUUCGGCUGGCUGCACUGCUGCAUCCCGGUCUGGCAAGUGAUAGCCAUGGCCGUGGCGAGCAUCGCGGGCUUCCUGACCGGGUUUCUUCUUCACGAUGCAGUGGACAAGAUGAACAACAAGGCCAAUUUAUCUGGUUAA
rnacentral:rRNA from 1 species